rnacentral:rRNA from 1 species
CGAACGCUGGCGGCGUGCUUAGCACAUGCAAGUCGACCGGAAAGGCCCUGCUUUUGUGGGGUGCUCGAGUGGCGAACGGGUGAGUAACACGUGAGUAACCUGCCCUUGACUUUGGGAUAACUUCAGGAAACUGGGGCUAAUACCGGAUAGGAGCUCCUGCUGCAUGGUGGGGGUUGGAAAGUUUCGGCGGUUGGGGAUGGACUCGCGGCUUAUCAGCUUGUUGGUGGGGUAGUGGCUUACCAAGGCUUUGACGGGUAGCCGGCCUGAGAGGGUGACCGGCCACAUUGGGACUGAGAUACGGCCCAGACUCCUACGGGAGGCAGCAGUGGGGAAUAUUGCACAAUGGGCGGAAGCCUGAUGCAGCAACGCCGCGUGCGGGAUGACGGCCUUCGGGUUGUAAACCGCUUUCGCCUGUGACGAAGCGUGAGUGACGGUAAUGGGUAAAGAAGCACCGGCUAACUACGUG